rnacentral:lncRNA from 1 species
GAACGUUCCAUGUGCUUCCAUUCAUUGACUAGUGGCCAUACUCUCCAGCCACAGACCACCAGGAGCACACCUGGAGGUGAACAUCCGGUUGAUUGAUUCGUUGCCAUGAGCGAGCACGCACGUUACAGAGAGCCACGGGGGUUCCACGAGAGGUGUUCGAAGGACUGAGAGGAUGUGCACUGGAGUCAGGUCUCUUCGCACUGCGUAUUGUGGGUUGUUCUUCCAGCGGGAAGGCCCGUGUGUAGCCCAGCCCCCCGGGCCCAGGAGAUGCCCCAGAGACAGAGCCCCUCGGAUAUCUGGCAGCUAAUGAGGAAUGAAACACUUCCAGCUUCUGCACCAACGUCGAAGGCUAAACCCAAGAGAGGAGUGCCGCUGACUGCCGCUCGGAGCCACAGCAUCGCAGCGAGGCAAGGACCUACUCCUCCUCCUGUGACAUCCCGACAGGUGCUCACCCAGCUUGUGCUCACACAUCCUCAGUGGCAGGGAGCUCACUACCUCAUAAGGCAAGGAAAACAAAAUGGAAAAAGCCGAUCCUGCUUUGAAGGAACUCAGUUAAAGGGAGAGAUACAGAGGACAGCAGACACCUGUGCGGCCAUCGCUGAGUCUGCGCACAGAGGGAAUGAAAGUGCAAGGAGGCCUGUAGGGAGAAGGCGGGAGAGCCAGCCCCAGCGAGGGCGGGGCCGAGAGCUGGAGCAGCGGCUCAGGGCUGGGGAAGUGGAGGCUGAAUGUGAGAAACUGAGGCUCCAGGAUGUUACAGAUCAGCAUUUCCCUGUUCAGGCAGAUAUGGAAUCAGUUUUCACAGGAAAAAAUUUGAAGACAUCACCAAAGCCUCAUGUGGUUAAAAACAGAAACGAGGGAGCUGAAGACACGAGCUACCUGGCUGAAGGUUGGCGAUGGGCGGAGGGCAGAGGAGAAGCAGGGCUUUCCACCUCCUGCCUGCUCGCAGCGGUCUGCAAAGCUCCUGAGUGAGGCUAGGUAGUUUCCAUUCACCCCUGCAAAUCCACUUUCCACCUGGGUCUCUCUGAGCCCGGGAGCCUGGUCUUUGUGGACCCCAUCAAUCCUGCGGCUUCUACUUGGGUUCGGCCAACGGGAAGCACCCUCCAGAGAUGCAAAGGCAAGAGAGCAGUCAGGGUCUUUGUUCCCUGCUCCCUCCUUCGGGGCCACAGGUUGGCAGUGGGUGUUCCUCCACCAAAGGUCUCAAUUCUCAUCAGACAGCUUUCUGCUUAAGCCACAGCACAGCUCUGGCUCUCUCUAAGGACACUGUUACCAGUCCCUACCAUCCCCUGUUUGUGUCCCUUAACUCCAUUUGCACCUUUGUUAAUAGUCCCUUCAUUAAACUCGUCUCAACGCCCCAUUGGAGCGAGCCAUUUGUUUCCUGUUUGGACCCAGAGUAAUUCAGUACUAGAACCGUAGGUCAGGAAGGCAUGGCAAAAGUCUUCUGCUCCUGCAGUUUUCAAAUUUUUACUUUGACCUGAAGAGAUGUAGUAAGAAUCACGAUUGUAAAAGUAAUGAAGUUCGAGAAGCCCGUGGAACCCUGCCUGCUCAGCCUGCCACCCAAAGCACUCCUCCUCUCUGCCUCCCCCAGCUGCUCCGUGAAUCCCAGGGCUGUGGGGAGCGCCCUCCCAAGCCCGCUGACCUGGUGCAAACCCCUCGCUCCCGCGGGAGAGCGGCAGGGGCCAGAUCUCUACAGCAGCCGUUGUGGCCAGAGCAGGUCUGAUUUAUGCGCUGGGCCUUCAUCAACAGUCUGCCUCAAUCUCUUCCCAAGUGCAAAGCCCCGUAAAUCUUCGCCAACCCAUGUUAUACAAACACGCAAAAAUGUCAUUAGGGAAACAAACAGCCCCACUGGCCUUGGCAGAGGCCUUUUCUGCCAGGCUCAAGUUACCUAAAAUCAAUAUUUGAACAAGGACAAAACCACAUGUUUCCAAAACCAAAUUAGAGGGUCUAACGGGAGGCCUGGGACGUGGUUACAUCACGCGCGCUCCUGCUGCCCCCCGCGCUGUUGGCGGGCCCCCACCCCUUGCAGUCCCUGGCCUUGCUUGCCCUGAGUAUCUGAACCCAUCAGACAGGUGACACCGAGGGACAGAAUAAGCGAGAAAUAGGAUCUUCUGCAGAGCGGGGGCUGGGACCCAAGUUUACCAGACAUGGGGAGUGGCUGUGUCCCGUCCUGCAGCCCCUAAGCCCUGACUCCACAUCCGUAGCGGGCUCUGGGCUAAGGUCUGAGGGUCCGAGAGUGAGCCAAAUCGCAAGUGUCUGCUCUCAGGGAGCCCACACUACAGUGUGGAAGGAAGAGGAGACAGGAGGUCACUUCAGCGCCGAAGGACAAGCACCAGCCAUGUGGGUGAGUUCCGGGAGCUUUGCAGGCACACAGCAGGGUCGGUAACCCAGGGGCAAGGGGGCCUGUGGGGGACAGCUUCCAGCAGCAGAUGUGUAAAAGGUGCUCUGUCUAACCAGCUACUCCGGCUUUGUGUGUGCCUGGCCCAGGAAGGGAAGGGGGCCGAUGGGAGAAGAGGACCCCUACGCCUCCCAGAAGGGAGGGGUGAGCAAGGAAGAACUCCAUUCUCCCCCAACACGAGCCUGAGCUGGUGGAGAGCUGGGGAGCAGGCGCGGAGCCUUGGCCUUUCCGGGCCUCUCUUUUUGGAGCCAGCCCAGCCCAUCUGCAGCCCCUCUGCCCUCCCCUAUUCUCUGCUUGAGCGCAGGGGAAAAAUGGGCAGCGCUUCUGAGCCAGCUGUGUGGGAAAGUCCUCCUCCGAGGGCAGCAGUAAGGCCUUUGGCCUGCACCUCUGAAGCCACGUUCUUUCAGCAAAAAAGCCAGCACUUUGCUCUCCAACCGCCCCUUGAGCCCUCUGUCUCUACCGAGACGGGAGUCCUAGUCGUUGACUCCUCCCAAACAAAUACCGUGUGAGACGGCUCCUGGGUGCUGCGAGUUGAAACUGUAGGAUACAAG